rnacentral:sRNA from 1 species
UGUAGCCUCCGUGCUUCCGGAUGACGCC